GAUGAACGCUGGCGGCGUGCCUAAUACAUGCAAGUCGAGCGAACAGACGAGGAGCUUGCUCCUCUGACGUUAGCGGCGGACGGGUGAGUAACACGUGGAUAACCUACCUAUAAGACUGGGAUAACUUCGGGAAACCGGAGCUAAUACCGGAUAAUAUAUUGAACCGCAUGGUUCAAUAGUGAAAGACGGUUUUGCUGUCACUUAUAGAUGGAUCCGCGCCGCAUUAGCUAGUUGGUAAGGUAACGGCUUACCAAGGCGACGAUGCGUAGCCGACCUGAGAGGGUGAUCGGCCACACUGGAACUGAGACACGGUCCAGACUCCUACGGGAGGCAGCAGUAGGGAAUCUGCCGCAAAGGGCGAAAGCCUGACGGAGCAACGCCGCGUGAGUGAUGAAGGUCUUCGGAUCGUAAAACUCUGUUAUUAGGGAAGAACAAAUGUGUAAGUAACUAUGCACGUCUUGACGGUACCUAAUCAGAAAGCCACGGCUAACUACGUG
rnacentral:rRNA from 1 species